rnacentral:rRNA from 1 species
CUAGCGACUUCAGAGUUUGAUCCUGGCUCAGAACGAACGCUGCGGCAUGCCUAACACAUGCAAGUCGAACGAGACCUUCGGGUCUAGUGGCGCACGGGUGCGUAACGCGUGGGAAUCUGCCCUUGGGUCCGGAAUAACUCAGAGAAAUUUGAGCUAAUACCGGAUGAUGACGUAAGUCCAAAGAUUUAUCGCCCAGGGAUGAGCCCGCGUAAGAUUAGGUAGUUGGUGGGGUAAAGGCCUACCAAGCCGACGAUCUUUAGCUGGUCUGAGAGGAUGAUCAGCCACACUGGGACUGAGACACGGCCCAG